rnacentral:lncRNA from 13 species
AUGGUGAAAGCGCCAUAUCAUACAAAAUAUACAAGCAGAUUUACCAAAUAUACAUGGGCAAUAGCCUCUGAUACAGACAUUGUGGUUGUGUGUACCGUAAUAGGAGUGUGCGAACCUCAGUGUGUCGGUAGCAGUGCGUGGGUAAAAUCAGCAACAGGCUUUCAGAGCAGUCGCUGCUCCUCUUCCUGUCCUCAGUGGGGGCGCAGACUGAAGGGGGAGGUCUGCUUCGUCUCUGUCUCAAUAGAAACCGCUUCCCUCCAGACUGUGAUUCCUUCCUCAAGAUAAAAGAACUGAUGUCACUCAGGGAUCCUCUCAACAAAACGGCCUCUGCUCAAGUAGAUGACGAACAGGGGCAGGCAGCAUAAACUAUAGAUAGCAGAGUGAAAAUCUUAACUCCCCUACCCAUUUUGUUAUCGUGGGUACCAGAACCAAUUUGUGCUAUCAUUCCACACCUUGCCACUCCUUGUUUGGCAUAUGACAAUAACUGGCAUGAUAGCAGGUCUGGUACCCAGGCUACCAAUUUGUUUCUCAAUUUGAAUUACAAAUUGAUGUUUUUCCUGCUAGUGCCCCAUUUAUAUUUCCACGUGUCACUUGUCUACUCUAGUCCAAUCAAUAAACAAAAACAAUGACAUGAAAUACUACACACCUCCACAACUGUUCACUUCAUAAGAGGUGAAAUCUUUAACUCUGAAAAUAAACAGUUGUAGGAAUCAGGAUGCAGUCAGGGAUCCUUGUUUGCACAUUGGAUGCAUUGUAGUUUAUGAAUUCCAUUCAAAUGUCUUUGUAUAUCAGCAAGCUCCUGAUUUAGUUAAAACAUUUACGAUACCAAGCCAAACAAAGCACAAAAAUAGCGAUCUGUUUUACAUACUUUUUAGUUGUCACUUGAAAGGUGCCAGCACGCACCAGGAUGUGAAAACGAGUCUCUACUGGUGAAUGCAUUUCAAGAAAAAUUUGUGAAGGCACAUUGGACAACAUUUAUUUCAUGCCUCUGUUAGCUGCUAGUUAAACUUUAAAUGAGCUGCAAUGGAUGGGAUGGGGACAUCCCUGGUACUCUUUUACACUCUCAGCACCUGAUGUGUCAACGUUCAGCUCCAUCCAGCGCGACACCCAGGCAAACAAUGUAAAAAAAAUAAAAAAAANNNNNNNNNNCACCUGUCAGGUGGAUGGAUUAUCUUGGCAAAGGAGAAAUGCUUACUAACAUUGAUGUAAACACAUUUGCGUAUGGAACAUUUCGGUAUCUUUUAUUUAAUCUCAUGAAACGAACACUUAACAUGUUGCGUUUCAUAUUUUUGUUCAGUGUAUAUAUCCCAUCUAAUCCUAAAAUAAUUGCUAGCGUUUCAACAUUCCAUCCCUGUACUGUUUAUUGAAAC